rnacentral:rRNA from 1 species
AUUGAACGCUGGCGGCAGGCCUAACACAUGCAAGUCGAACGAGUGGCGGACGGGUGAGUAAUGUCUGGGAAACUGCCUGAUGGAGGGGGAUAACUACUGGAAACGGUAGCUAAUACCGCAUACCAGCAGAUGUGCCCAGAUGGGAUCAGCUUGUUGGGGGGGUAACGGCUCAAAAAGGCGACGAUCCCUAGCUGGUCUGAGAGGAUGACCAGCCACACUGGACCGUAGACACGGUCCAGACUCCGCCGGGAGGCAGCAGUGGGGAAUAUUGCACAAUGGGCUCAUGCCUGAUGCAGCCAUGCCGCGUGUAUGAAGAGAGCCUUCGGGUUGUAAAGUACUUGCAGCGGGGAGGCGUUACCCGCAGCAGAAGCACCGGCUAACUCCGUGCCAGCAGCCGCGGUAAUUC